GCUGCAUCCUAAUAUGGCGACCGGGUGUGUCGAAAUAAGUGGGUGUAUGGAAAGCGAGUCGGUCCGAUUUGUUGGCACUCAAGACAGUUUUGCGUGGCAGAUGGACUAGUCAAUAACCCGGCGGUCAGUGCUCAAUGUUCUAGUUUUGUGCCUGCCGACUCAAAGUUCUUCGUACUGUGUAUAAUUGAUGGUCGUGUCGCCGGUGCGGUGGUAACUACGUGGCCAUUUUCUCUCGCAUUACUUUAUUUCAAGUACGUUAGAAGCCUACACAAUAAAUAACUCACAUUUAUAACAAUCUAGACUGUAAUACAUAGUCUACUACGGCAACAACCGGAACAGUGCCCUUUACUCCUGCUUGGAAAGUAACGGUAACGGCAUGGAAAGUACCUACCCAGAGUGAAAGACUAUGACCCAACACACCUCCAGGCUGUGCAAGGGCUAUUUGACCAAGGAGAGUGAUGGAAAGCUGUAUCGAUGACCUGGCCUCCACAAUCACCUGCCCAAAACCCAAUUGAGAUGGUUUGGAAUGAGUUGGACUGCAGAGUGAAGGAAAAGCAGCCAACAAAUGCUCAGCAACUAAAGGAAAUCCUGGCGCAUGCACGUGCACACAGUCUACUUACUUGAGGUCCUGCAGUAGGUCCUUUGCAUUGAGCAUGGUGAUGAGGGAUGUGGUGGCCGCUGGGAUGAUUACGAUGGGAGUCCGAGAGCCUUUAAUGAAACGAACACAAUGUAUAUGUUUAGUUAAUCUAUUACCAUUUAUCACCAUUCAUCAAUAACACUCGCACAUACACACUGUCGUAGCAGUACAUACCCUUCUUUUGAUUUGGUGGGGGUCUGGCUUGGGAAACUGGAGGAGAAAAAUAAAUAAUAAGUGACAGCAAGAACCGAUAUCCCAUUAUGAGCCAUGUGCUGCAAAAAGUAUCAAAUUUGACAACAGAUGACACACUGAACAGAGGAAAUGACAGCUCUGGCUUGUGUCCUGAAUUAAGUGAAACGGACAGGCAUAAACCAGGUAAAGCUAAUGCACUAAUUCUCUGAUCAUUAAAAAAAAAAAAACCUUCAAGGAGUUAGUUUACCUCAGACAUGCAAAUUUGUAACGAUGUCAGUUUGUCUGGUUCCAAGACCAGCUUUAGCCAUUGGAUCCAAUGAGUAGUGGAGCAGCUACUCUUGGUAUGUUUUGUAUGUUUCACAGAAGCAAAGCGCCGGUCUUUAUUGUAGUUAAAACACGGAUAUCCACAAAGCAUCUCUGUCCCGAAAUCAGGUCACCCCAUCAAUAUAAUCUUAUUCAUUAAAAUCUAAAAGGCAAAUGUGAUCCUAUAUGAGCACUCCUACCCAGAUCUCAUCUAACAGAGCAAUGUGUUUGAUAUGAAGAGCCUUGCGAGCUACAGUAGUUGCAGGCCUAGUGAGACUUCCAAAAAUAGAUUUGCUGUUUUGUUUUUAACGCUCACAUCUCUUUUCAACCGUUUUUCCACCAAGGACACAAAACAGAAUUGAUCCUACUUUGAUUAUUAAGAGCUUACUUGACACGAGAGAUGAGACACCGUGUUGCAUUAAUGCAAAAACAAAGAAUAAGCAAAAGGGAAAGACAUUGAAAUUUGGGGUUCACAAAUCAAAGAGAAGAAACACAGUGUCAUUAAAUAGACAUAACACUCCAAAAUCGAAAUGUGUCAGAUAGUCAUAACUCAAGUGGUCAUCGGAGUCCACAAACCAGGCCAUUAUUAAAGAUGCAGCUAUAUCCCACAAUUCAAAAUGAAUGGAAUAAUAGGCACCAUUUAACUUCCAGAUUUGCUGUGCUUCUCUUUUCCAUUUUUUGGGGGAUUGGAGGCAGCUGGGUCACCUUUUUUUAGCCGUUUGCAGUCCUCUCAUUGGCAGAAUUAACAUCUUUCAGUUGCGCGGUCUGAUGGAGCUGGUCUGCCCGGCUCUCCCACACAGCUCCCAGGCAGUCACUUGUCAAUCUUUUGAGCUGAUGCCAAGCCAGAACACUUGUCUUGUAACUAACCUAAAAACAAUGUUUACGCUCUCCUUUUCAUGUAGGCUAUUUUUGUUUUGAUCACAUCAGAAGCUCUAGUUUCCCAUAUGCACCGUUUCAGUCAACUGUGUUGCCGCUCUUGCACCUAUUGUGGAAAUUGAUGUAUACUGAGAGAGACUAAUUUCUUCAAACAAUCACCUUUAUUUAAUAUUGAUUAAUUAUUACAAUAAUGCAGUUGGUCGGCCACACACUAAAAGGUGUUUUGCCGAGAGCUUAACCUUUUAAUGAAAAAAAAAAUCUUAUAGGGGACCCAAAAAUGCGAAGUCAUGGUUGCUUCCACCUCCACAUGCAGAUCGGGGGCACCAUCCUGGGUUCAUCCUGUGGUCACCUGCACCCGGUGCCAUUUCCCAGAUGCAAGAAUGAUUGGACACAAUAUGGGAUUGUUCUACUCCGCCAGGCUCUGUCUAUCUCGGGUCACACACAUCACAUCUACGGAAUGCCAGCUGUAGGUAAAUUGUCAACUCAAGCCCCAGAGGCCCAACUCAGUCCCACAGACACAGAUGAGUACUCAUCAUAGAUAUUCGAUGCAUAAACAGUUUUAAACGUAAUCUUGCGGUUGCUUAUUUCCUAAUGGGGGGGGAAAAAAACGUUAUUUGAUGAAUAUUAGGAGUACAGUAAUACUUGACAUUUUUUGGAAAGCUCAAAUUACCCCCUUGAUGGUUAUGAUGGGGAGAAAAUCAGAGCUGUAAAUGGUUUAACCUGUAGCCAAGGCUUUAUAGCCAAUAUGGUUAAUUAUGGCUGGCAUUGGUUACAAUCUGCCACAAUACCAAUGUUGCCAGCCAAGGUAUACCAGGAGAUAGUAGGCCUUGUCCAACUAGGCCAUCUGAAUGUGUACUAUGGAAGUUAGAGGUAGCCUAAACAUUCAUUAUUUAAUAGAAAAAAAGCACUGACUAAAAUGGCUGUGACUAAAACUAGACUAGAAUUGUCCAGAGUUUGUCAACUGAUAACUAAAACUAAAAGGAUGAAAUUACUAAAAUGUGACUUAAGACUAAAUGGUGUUAAGACUAAAACUAAACAAAAAAAGCUGCAAAAAUUAACACUGCUUUAAACCCUCCAGUGGCUCAGUGGUCUAAGGCACUGCAUCUCAGUGCUAUGGGCGUCACUACAGACCCUGGUUUGAUUCCAGGCUGUAUCACAACCGGCUGUGAUUGGGAGUCCCAUAGGGUGGCGCACAAUUGGUCCAGCGUCGUCCGGGUUAGGGUUUGGCUGGGGUAGGCCCAUCAUUGUAAAUAAGAAUUGGAUCUUAACUGACUAGCCUAGUGAAAUUAAAAAUACACUGCUCAAAACAAAAAAGGGAACACUUAAACAUCACAAUGUAACUCCAAGUCAAUCACACUUCUGUGAAAUCAAACUGUCCACUUAGGAAGCAACACUGAUUGACAAUUUCACAUGCUGUUGUGCAAAUGGAAUAGACAAUAGGUGGAAAUUAUAGGCAUUUAGCAAGACACCCCCAAUAAAGGAGUGGUUCUGCAGGUGGGGACCACAGACCACUUCUCAGUUCCUAUGCUUCAUGGCUGAUGUUAUGGUCACUUUUGAAUGCUGGCGGUGUUUUCACUCUAGUGGUAGCAUGAGACGGAGUCCACAACCCACACAAGUGGCUCAGGUAGUGCAGCUCAUCCAGGAUGGCACAUCAAUAUGAGAUGGGGCAAGAAGGUUUGCUGUGUCUGUCAGCGUAGUGUCCAGAGCAUGGAGGCGCUACCAGGAGACAGACCAGUACAUCAGGACACGUGGAGGAGGCCGUAGGAGGGCAACAAUCCAGCAGCAGGACCGCUACCUCCGCCUUUGUGCAAGGAGGAGCAGGAGGAGCACUGCCAGAGCCCUGCAAAAUUACCUCCAGCAGGCCACAUGUGCAUGUGUCUGCUCAGACGGUCAGAAACAGACUCCAUGAGGGUGGUAUGAGGGCCCGACGUCCACAGGUGGGGGUUGUGCUUACAGCCCAACACCAUGUAGGACGUUUGGCAUUUGCCAGAGAACACCAAGAUAGGCAAAUUCUGGCGCCCUGUGCUCUUCACAGAUGAAAGCAGGUUCACACUGAGCACGUGACAGACGUGACAGUCUGGAGAUGCCGUGGAGAACGUUCUGCUGCCUGCAACAUCCUCCAGCAUGACCGGUUUGGCGGUGGGUCAGUCAUGGUGUGGGGUGGCAUUUCUUUGGGGGGCCGCAAAGGCCUCCAUGUGCUCGCCAGAGGUAGCCUGACUGCCAUUAGGUACCGAGAUGAGAUCCUCAGACCCCUUGUGAGACCAUAUGCUGGUGUGGUUGGCCCUGGGUUCCUCCUAAUGCAAGACAAUGCUAGACCUCAUGUGGCUGGAGUGUGUCAGCAGUUCCUGCAAGAGGAAGGCAUUGAUGCUAUGGACUGGCCCGCCCGUUCCCCAGACUUGAAUCCAAUUGAGCACAUCUGGGACAUCAUGUCUCGCUCCAUCCACCAAUGCCACGUUGCACCACAGACUGUCCAGGAGUUGGCGGAUGCUUUAGUCCAGGUCUGGGAGGAGAUCCCUCAGGAGACCAUCCGCCACCUCAUCAGGAGCAUGCCCAGGCGUUGUAGGGAGGUCAUACAGGCACGUGGAGGCCACACACACUACUGAGCCUCAUUUUGACUUGUUUUAAGGACAUUACAUCAAAGUUGGAUCAACCUGUAGUGUGGUUUCCCACUUUAAUUUUGAGUGAGACUCCAAAUCUAGACCUCCAUGAGUUGAUAAAUUUGAUUUCCAUUGAUAAUUUUUGUGUGAUUUUGUUGUCAGCACAUUCAACUAUGUAAAGAAAAAAGCAUUUAAUAAGAAUAUUUCAUUCAUUCAGAUCUAGGAUGUGUUAUUUUAGUGUUCCCUUUUUUUUUUGAGCAGUGUACAUUUAAAAAAAACUAAUAAAAAAAAAACUUUCAGUGUUCAUUUCUCCAGGCCAGCAUUUGUGAUGUCUGCUAGUUUAUCAAACCAAGCUCAUCUAUUAAUCUACAAAAGCAGAGUAGUGGAAAUGUGUAACAUUCUGCCUGUCAGGCUAUCUGUUACGAAAUCCCUGCCGGAAACCCUUAGCACACCAUCUCGCAGCUUUCUGUCGGGGAUACAAACUCUGCAACUUUCUAUUUGUAUUGCUUUGAAUCUUUUUAAUGAAUUUAUCUUAUUAACACUUUGUUCUAGCUAGCUAUGUGUGUAGGUAGCUAAUCAAGUAAUGCCUUUGUGUAGAGCUAUUUAGUAAUACCUGUAUGUGCAGGUAGCAUAUCAAUAUUCAAAAUGAGUCCUUCCUUUGUUAAUAGCCUUGUUGCUCUACUUGUGCUAUCAGUUACUGUAUUGUGUACAGUGCAUUCAUUACCUCUGUUUCUUUUGUUUCAGAAACACUACCUUUCCAUGUACAUUUAAUCCGUGUGUGUGUCAAUAAAGUACCCUUGCCUGUGUAA